GAGGUGAGGCCUUGCAAAAAGGAUUUUAAGAUAAUUUAAGUUCAUACAAUGCAAUAUUUUUUUUUCCUGUAUUGUACAUUUUAAAGUAAAGGCAGGAACGAGUUGAAGACAGGGCAGGAGUAAGACAGAUGAGCAGUAAAAAAAGGCUGCCUGGUGUUCUUUUACCCGUGAGUCACCAAUUUGACUGCGAGCAUCCUAAAACCAGUAGAAAAGGGGAAGCGUCCAUUAGGAUCCAGCGCGCUUGUCCCCUAAGAGAAGCAUAAUUAUUCCUGACACGGGCGAGAUUUCUCCCACAGGGCCUCAUUUUUUUCCAAAGGCAAUAUGUAAAUAAGUGUUGGGGACAGGACACUAUGGACAUCACUCAAAGGGACACCGGAGUUUCAUCCCCAAGUAAAGAGCAGUUUCCUCAACAACUGAGAAGCGCAGCCAAGGUUUUCCCUGCGUGGCUUCCUGUUCUGGCCUUGGCUGUAAGUGGAUGGCAUACUACAGUGAAAGCAGUCCGGUACACCACUCCCAAGUCUUACUGAAUCCAAGGGCAGAUUUUUCCAGUGCCCUGACCCUUUAUUCAUCUGCUUUAAAAUAGCAGUAUCCCACUUUCAAAACCUCAGACUUCUGGUCAGGUGACCUAGGAAAUUCUUCCACUGUACAUAGCAAGGCGAGACUUCAAAAGAGAAAGACUCCAAGAGGAAAUAACUGGGCUCAAAGAGCAAGCACUUGCUUUUCUGGCCAAAUGAGACAUGGCUACAGACACAAUGAAAGUACUAACACACCAAACAUGGGACAGUGAGACAACCCAGAGAAUAGAAAUAGCAGGAAGCUGCUACCCAUCCCUAAGGAGGUGGAAAGACCUGAGCACCGAGGAGCCAGGGUCACCUGGUGGAAGCUGGAAGUUCACAGAUGGUCUCCAACUCCCCCCCUUCCCCCUCCCCAAGCUCUGAAAUUCUGGGAUCCCAAUACAUUGACAACACGAUUCACUUGACAGUGACUUGAUCUGCAGUAAUAUAUUCACCUUCCUAUCCCUGGCAUUUAGCACUGUGCCAGCACAUAGGAGGUGCUCAAUAAAAGUUUUGGAAACUGGCUGUUACA